UGUUUUGGCAGGCCGGGCGGGCCAGCUUCGGCUGGGCCGUCUCCUGUAGGACGGUGUUGAGAACCCGUUUCGGCCUGCCCCCAAC
rnacentral:antisense_RNA from 1 species